AGAUCAUGUAUUAAUGUUGAGCUCGCCAAACAACUGAUUUACAACUCUCCUAUUAUCGUACUGGACCCGGGUCAGCAAUCAUUCAGCGUUUCUAAUUUCUUCCUAUUAGCAGUAAAGCUCAACAUCAAUUUUUACAUAAAGAUUAAUUGAACGAGUCUCUAGGAGAAAGAAACUUACCCUUGUGAAACCCCAGCUAAAACUAAACAGCUUAAAGAAAAAUCA